GACGGGGAAUCCCCAGUUUCUUAUUACGGGGAUUGGGGCGGGUAAGGGGAUGAGGAAUGAAGUCGGAUAUGAGGAUGAUAAUUUAAUCCCCUUACCCUACCCUCCCCAUUGCCAUCCCUAUUCUUGGAUUGCUAGUGAUUAUGAUAAUUUACAUUAAUCAAUUGUUUCAAGGCUUUUGGCGUCAUCGGCGUGCGACGAGUGUAGCCGAACGACCUAAAUCUACACGCUUUCUCUUUUGUGUUCUUUCUCAUCUGGCUGGGCCUCCGUGCCGGUGUUGGACCUUUGGCUUCAUCUGCGUGCGACGAGUGUAACCGGUCAUGACUCAUGUUUCUCACAUGCUCAAUGGCUUGGAUUGAUUUGGGUGGGCUUGGUCCAAAAGAGGAAGAUGGCAACGCAGUGAUGGAAAAUGGAUCAUUUGCCUUAUUGGUUGGGUCUAUGAGCGAUGGUCAUGUGGUGGUGGCUUGGCGGAGGGGAGAGAUCAGAAGAGGAUGGAUCUCUGAUGUGGAGAUCGAAAUUUUUGCAGGGAAGGGAUGAAAGCGGCUUGGGGUCAACGAGGGCUGUGACCUUAUUUGAGAAGAUUGGUAUUGGCAUGACACCACUAUCUCCCACACAAAGAUCAGAUCCUGGGAAAAAAGGUGGCGACGGGUUCGACUGUGGCUUUAGUGGUUGUGCAACUAUUGCGCCUACCCAACGAGAGUGGCAGUGCAACAAGGAUGGUGACUCACGGGUUGCCUUGGAUUUCGAUUGGAUGACCUCACUCAUAUUAGGCCAGGAUCCAAUCAUUGGGCUUUGGUCUGAUUGAUGGUUUCUUUUUUCUUUUUAUCUUUUUUUUUUUCCUUUUUUUUAAUCAGUUCGUUUUGCUUGAUUAGUUUUUAGUUGUUUAUUGUUUUCAAUACUUACCUACAAACGCAUCAUCAUAUUCA